UUUGUCAUCCAAAGGGUCCCAGCUAUAACAUUUAGCGUCGUUUUGUUAGAUAAAAUCCUUCUUUAUAUCCUAAAAAGUCAGUUUAGUUGGCGCCAUCAAUUUGAGUAAUCCACUCGUUCAACUUGCAGAGACACGCAUCCGAAAAUCUACCCAUAGACUUUGUUUCAACAAGUCAAAAUACGUUCUCAUUUACUACUCAGAUACCCUAAAAUGUAAUAGAACUUGAAUAUUUCUUUCGGAAAGAAGUAUGUUUGUCACGUUCCUGACCUGUUUUCCUUUUUCUUGUAUUUAUUUAGUUGGUCAGGGCGUGAGUUGGGUGGGUUUGUCUAUGUUUGAUUUUCUAUGUUGGGAUGUUUGUGUUCGGCCGGGUAUGAUUCUCAAUCAGAGACAGCUGUCAAUCGUUGUCCCUGAUUGAGAAUCAUACUUAGGCAGCCUGGGUUUCACGUGUGUUUUGUGGGUGUUUGUCUUUCGUGUAGUCGUUGUGCCACACGGGACUGUUUGUCGGUUUGAUUUUCUAUUUGUUAUCUUGCUUCAUAUAGUGUUCAGUUCGAUGCUAAUAAAUUAUGGACACUAACCACUCCGCGUAUUGGUCCGAUCCUUCUCGCCUCUCCUCGUCCGAGGAGGAAUGUGAAAGCCGUAACAAUGUUCAAUAGGAAACCGAUUUUAUCAGGUGCGUAAUGUCUUCAAGGCACGCGGAAACACACAUUUCCAAGGCUGUGUCCCUCUACUAAAACUGUUAUUUCUUAUUCGUUUUUGAAGUUACAAGCCUGAAACCUUGAACAUAGACUGCUGACACCCUGUGGAAGCCAUAGGAAUUGCGUCCAAUUUUCAAUGUCACCUUUCUCUUGCAUUCCUAAGAGGAUUUUCUCACAAAAACAAAAAAAUUCCGAGGAGCACGUGAUGCCGCGGAGCUGAGCAGACGUUGACGAACCGAGCUCUUCAAAGUUAUUCUAUUAUUACCUAAAUAACAAAGUUGAAACAAUAUUCUAACAUCGGCUGAUAAAUUGUCAAGUACUUACCUUCCCAAAGAGCCAUGGACCUCCGACCGAGAGGCAAGAAGGACGACCAAAACGUUGUUGAUUCCCAAGAUAACGAUAACGCUACAGCUAGCAAGAUUAGCAUUAGCCCUCGUAACUCAGACGACAGUUCCAGACUGUCUCUUCCGAGCCUGCCAACAUGCUGGCUACUCUCCUCCGGGAAAUUCAGGAUGGUAACAAAGGUCUUUCUAUGAAAAUUGAUAAGAAAUCAGCUGAACUCCAUUCUUCCAUUAACGACCUGAAAUCCUCCAUGAAUGAUCUCCUUUUGAGAAUGACUGAGGCAGAGUUGCGCAUUAGCACAGUUGAAGAUACCAUCGCUCGACAUGACCAGGUCUUGAUACAACUGCAAAAGGAUAAUGCCUACCUCAAAAACAAGGUAGAUCAGAAGGAGAACCAGAGUAGACGUAGUAAUAUCCGUGUGGUGGGAUUGAAAGAGGACAGCGAGGGCCGUGACCCGGUCCGUUUCUUCACUCAAUGGAUCCCGGAUGUCCUAGGCAUAAUCAACUUAACCAAGCCACUGGAAAUCGAACGCGCCCACAGAACAUCAGCGCCGAAACCCCGGCCAGAUGAGCCCCCACGGGCCGCCCUGAUCAGGUUCCUCCGCUUCCAAGACAGAGAGAAGAUACUGCAACUUGCAAGAGCAAAAGGGGGCAUCACCAUUGAUGACGUCGCAAGCAGUUCAGACCUGUGGCCAAAGCACUGAAGGAGAAGAACAUCACCGGCUACCUCAUCCACCCUGCGCGGAUGAAAGUUCAGUACAAAGGCUGAAGCCAUCUCUUCAACACACCGGGAGAAGUGUACACUUUUCUCAAAGAACUGAACGUCUGAGCUCGGACGGUCUCUCUGGGGGAUAAGAUGCAGUUUGUUUGUUUUCUCUUAUCCGGACUGAACUGCUGAUAUCUUCCGGUCGCUAUAUUUGAUUCGUACAUUUUCAACUAACCGUAUCUUUCCGGGGUGAGUUCUAUUACAUUUACAGGAGAUUAUAUUUUGGUUUAGUCCAUAUCCACUGGGCAAAGCAAAUAAGUGGGCUUAGGCCCACUGCUUUCCCCCUCAUUUAUGUUAAUCUUUUGAAAAGAGACUCAAGCAGCCCUUAGCGUGGGCAGUAUUAAAUAUUCAGCCAUAAAUGUCUAUUCACAACGUUUGUUUUCAACUUAGAGAGCUCGCAGGUUUUAGUUUACGCCAAGGUUUAGCUAGUAAGAGCAAGAUGGAAAGCGAGCAGCAACGUAUCUCUACAAGUGUAUUCAUGUUUGAUUGUUGGGAUUGUUGUUUUAGUCUGACAAUCGGGGUGGGCGGGAUUUUAUUUAUUUAUUUUUUCCUUUUUUCUAUGUUUAUUGUUUCCUUCCUAAAGAGACACAUAGGUCACUCCUGUGUUCAAACCAAAUUUGAAAGAUUUCCUAACUAUCUACAUAUGAUAGAUUUCCAUUCAGUUACAUAUUUGAAAACCAACCUAUGCUUAAUCCACAAAAAUAUGUCACAUUCAACGUAAAAGGUCUUAACAGCCCGAUUAAAAGGAAAAGAGUCUAUACAUACCUUAAGAAAUUAAAGGCUGAUAUUGUGUUUUUACAAUAAACACAUCUUACAGCCAGUGAACACAAGAAAUUGAAGAGGGAAUGGGUAGGACAAGUUUUUGCGUCCUCGUUUAACUCCAAAGCAAGAGGAACUGCAAUUUUGAUAAGUAGACACAUCCCCUUCUGCGUCAACAACACCAUCUCUGAUCCCUCUGGCAGGUUUGUUUUGGUGCAGGGGCAUAUGUUUUCAGAGUCUUGGACCCUAUUGAAUAUUUAUGCUCCUAACUUCGAUGACCGUAUGUUUAUUCAGAAUGUCUUCCUUCAGGUUGCUCAAGCACCACCAGGAUGGCUACUGGUUGGAGGAGAUUUUAAUUUUUGUUUAGAUACAGUUCUUGAUAGGUCCUCUGAUGAACCCUCACUUCUUACCAAAGCCGGCAAGCUCACCAUGUCAUUCAUGAAAGAUCUCAAUUUACUAGACAUCUGGAUACAGUUGCACCCACAGGAUAGGGACCACGCUUUUUAUUCACACCCACACAAGACACACACACGCAUAGAUAACUUUUUACUAUCGACACAACUGUUUCAUAGAGUGUUAGAUGUCGAGUAUCUCCCCAGAUUGCUUAGUGACCAUUCUCCUCUGGUAUUAUCAAUCUCCAUUCCUACCAAGGUAAAUGGAGCAUAUAGAUGGAGACUAAAUUCUACACUCCUAAAGCAACCUGAAUUUUGUGCAUUCAUCAAAGCAGAUCAAUAUUUUUACUUUGACAAACAAACCCUCCGCUCCUGACAGUUUCAUUCUUUGGGACACAUUGAAGGCCUAUCUGAGGGGACAGAUCAUUUCCUAUACUAAAGGGCUGAAGAGAAAACACGGUGCGGAACUGAGUGCCCUUGAAUCUGAAAUCUCCGAGCUAGAGAAAACCUACCAGAGAGGCCUGACUAAAAAUCUACAGGCUUUUGAUAAAUAAAAAACUGAAAUAUAAUAUUCUGAACACAUAUCAAGCUGAGAGGGCCAUCACUAAAUCAAAACAGCGUUAUUACGAGCUUGGAGAGAAAGCUCACAAAGUAUUGGCAUGGCAACUGAAAGCAGAAGAAAGUAAGAGGACAAUUGCUAUAGAAACUCUUACUAAUGAGAUAUCUUUCGACCCUUCUGAAAUGAAUAAUACUUUUAAGAAAUACUCUGAAGAACUCUACACUUCCCAAUCAAGCGAUGAUCUAUCAGAGAUCGACUACUUUCUCUCCUCUCUCAACCUCCCAUGCCUGUCAGGGGAAGACAGCGAGCGCCUGAGUGACCACUUCUCAGUUCCUGAAUUGUUGGAGGCCAUUAAAUCCUUACCUUCUAAUAAAUCUCCUGGGGAGGAUGGCUUCCCUCCAGAGUUCUAUAAAGAAUUUAGGGAGCUGUUGGUCUCCUACCUUUAUGGAGGUAAUUAAAAAAGCCAGGGAAGACAACUGCUUUCCAGAGUCUUUCUCUCAAGCAGUGAUUACUGUAAUCCACAAGAAAGGGAAAAACCCGCUAAAGUGCGCUUCCUAUAGACCAAUCUCUCCCCUUAACACAGAUUGUAAACUGGUCACCAAGAUGCUAUCUAAGAGACUGGAGUCAUGUCUUCCCCUGUUGGUCAACCCAGAUCAGACUGGCUUCAUAAUUAAUAGAUUGUCCUCCAAUAAUCUCAGAAGGUUCUUUGAUAUAAUUCACCUUGCUAACAAAAACAAAAAUACCUAGUGUCGCAGUCUCCCUCGACGCUGAAAAGGCCUUUGAUAGGGUUGAAUGGCCAUAACUCUUUCGCGUCUUGGAAAAGUUUUGUUUAGGUACCGUGUUUGUAAAUUUGAUAAAAUCACUCUACAAAUCUCCUAAAGCUAGGAUUGCUACCAAUGGGAUUACUUCCUCCUCUUUCCCUCUCUAUAGGGAGAACAGACAAGGUUGCCCAAUUAGCCCCCACCUCUUUUCCCUCGCCAUCGAACCGUUGGCUGAGGCUGUUAGAACGUGCCCUGACAUACAUGGCUUUGAGGUUGGCCCCCAUACCCAUAAAUUAUCACUCUUUGCGUACGACCUUAUCUUAUUUCUAACAAACCCAGAACACUCCCUCUCUCACUUACAGAUCCUACUACAGUGUUAUAGUUCUUUCUCUGGAUAUAAGGUCAAUUUUGAUAAAAGCGAAAUCUUACCGUUGUUUGUCUUUGACCAUCAUACCAUCAAGCACAAGUUUCCUUUUAGAUGGUCGCCUAUGGGCUUCACAUAUUUGGGCAUAAUGGUGGAUGGUAAUCUCAACAACCUCUAUAAACUCAAUCUGGCCAGUUUGUUGCAAAAGGUGGAGGGUGACCUUUGUAAAUGGAUGGACUUACCUCUCACCCUACUCGGUAGAACAAUGUAAUUAAAAUGAAUGUCCUGCCCAGAUUUCUAUAUCUGUUUCAAUCUCUCCCUAUCCCUGUUCCCGCAGCAUUCUUUUCCUCUCUCGACAAGCUGACCAGACGGUUUAUCUGGCAUGGCAAAACCGCUAGGGUUGGCCUGGAUAAACUGACCCUUGAUUACAGUCAAGGGGGCUUAAACCUCCCCAAUUUUAGAAUGUACUACUGUGCUGCACAGUCUAGGUUUCUGGCUCAGAGGUUUGACAAUGGUCCCUCUCCCUCAUGGUUGAACAUUGAAAAGCUUGAGGUAAAUGAUGACACUGGGGCAGAAUUGUUUUACAAAUGGGACAGAAAAUCUAUAAAAACCAUCACAGACAACCCUUUAAUCAUACAUUCUGUCCUGGCAUGGUGCAAACUGCAUGAGCUGUUCAGAUGAGGGGGAUUCCUUUCCCUAAAACCCCUUUAUGGAGCAAUAGAUUGAUUCCUAUGUUUUCCCAGAAUAGUAACUUUAGACCAUGGUGUGAUAAGGGGAUCACUCUUCUGGAACAUUGUUACGAGGAGGGAGUUCUUAUGUCUUUUGAUCAGCUGAAACAGAAAUACCACUUGCCUAACAGGGACUUCUUUAGCUACCUACAACUACGAAACUUUAUUAGAGUGACUCUCAAGGGACAAUGGAACCUACCUAAGAUGUCACCUAUUGAACAACUCUGCCACGAAGACCAACCACUGUUCAAGACCGUUUCCCGUGUUUACGAUGCUCUUAUGUCAGGACUAACAGUGCCUGAGCUAGAUAAACCCCGACUUAGAUGGGGAAAAGAUCUGGGUAUUGAUCUUGAUGAGGGUCUAUGAAGUGACCUAUGCAGGGAUGGUGUAACAUCCACAUUGAACUCCAGAUACAGACUGAUCCAGUUUACUUUCCUCCAUCAGCUCUAUAUCACCCCAUCUAGACUGCACAAGUUCAAACCUGAUAUCUCCUCCCUAUGUUUAGAUGUGGCUCAGAUGAAGGAACAUUCCUCCAUUCCACUUGGCAGUGUUCAAAACUACACGGUUUCUGGCAGGGGGUAUGCGAUACUAUAUCCUCAAUUCACGGGGUUGCAUUCCCUUUAGACCCGGAGGUCUGUCUACUGGGCAACUUUACUAACACCAAUCUUAGGCAAAGCCAUACUAUAAAGCUAACAGAAAUAUUGCUAGUGAUUGCCAAGAAAUGUAUUGCCUUGAAAUGGAAAUUGGAUUCCUCCCUGCCAGUUGCAAUGUGGCUAUCGGAAGUUAAUAGUUGUAUCCCACUGGAGAAAAUCACUUACUGCUAGAGGAAUAAGUUAAAGACAUUUUACAGAAUUUGGCAACCUUUUAUUGACUAUAUGGAGAAUCUCCCCCCACAUCACAUUGAUUGAAUCUCUAUAUAAUCCUCAUAUAAUGUUUCACACGUAAUGUAUAAUAUGUAGCCUACGGCAGGUGACCAUAUGAUCCAAUGUCUCAUUAUAUAUUUUUUUAUUGUAUGUUUGUAUAUAUAAUUAUAAUAAUUUUUUUGUUACGCUCGUCUGUUACUGUCACUUUGUCCUAUUGUUGUCUAAUAUCUUUUCACUUUUGUUUUGAAUGUUCUUAAUUGGAAAAUGCAAAAAUAAAAUAUAAAAUAAAAUAAAAUAAAAACAUUUCCGGUUGUUUUUUCUUUGGAUUUUCUCCUACCAUAACUAUUGUUUUAUAUUCUCCUACAUUAUUUUAACAUUUGGCUUCAGGGCCUGAGCUACAGGCAGUUUACUUUGGGUACGUCAUUCAGGAAGGAAGUGGAGAAAAAAGGGGCCUAGCCCUAAGAAGGUCUUUGUGCUGUUGUCAGUGCCCAAUAAUGUUUGUAACAUGUUGUGUGCUGCUGCCAUGUUGUGUUGCUACCAUGUUGUUGUCAUGUGGUAUUGCUACCAUGCUGUGCUGUCAUGUAUUGCUCACAUGCUAUGUUGUUGUCUUAGGUCUCUCUUUAUGUAUUGUUGUGGUGUCCCUCUUGUCGUGAUGUGUGUUUUGUCCUAUAUUUGGUAAAGGCCUCGAGGCUCAUUGUUACCGUUGAUGAGCAUGUCAUCAGCAGCAAUUUCAAGUUUGGAGUCAUUUAUCAGAAGUUUGGCCAGGUAAGUGUUUAUAUAGCCUGUGGUGGUAAAAUCAUAUAAAGUCAUAUACAUUUAUAACAGUUGGUCCUGUCCUGUAUUUGGAGUAUUAUUAUGACUGUGCUACUUCCUGGUCAUCAUAGGACGCCAGCUUAGCCAUUCUCAGGAGAGUUUAGGUGUGUGAGCUUCUCCCUCCUUCCCAAACUAAGAGGAUUUGCUGUCCUUCCUCCAGAGGAACCCUGAUUGAUUUCUUGUUGAGCUCAGAUGUAAUACUUCCUCUUCACAGCCUUGUGUUUCUCCCUGCAGACCACAGAGGAGGAGCUAUUUGAGAACAGCGACGAGAGUCCUGCUUUUAUGGAGUUCUUGAAGUUUCUGGGGGACACGAUUGAGCUCCAUGACUUUAAAGGGUUCAGAGGAGGACUGGACGUCACCCACGGCCAGACAGGAACAGAGUCUGUCUACACUAACUUUCACAACAAGGAAAUCAUGUUCCACGUGUCCACCAAGCUGCCAUACACAGAGGGAGACUCUCAGCAGGGCUGUGCGACGUUCCUGGAUAUUGGAGGGAACUGGAACACGCUGUCGUACACGUCGAUCCAGAACAUCCCAAACAUGCUCAAUUGGUGACAUGUCUGGUGAGUAUGCAGGCCAUGGAAGAACUGGGACAUUUUCAGCUUCCUCGAAUUGUGUACAGAUCCUUGCGACAUGGGGACCUGCAUUAUCAUGCUGAAACAUGAGUAGCACGAUAAUGGGCCUCAGGAUCUUGUCACAGUAUCUGUGCAUUAACAUUUCCAUCGAUAAAACGCAAUUGUGUUCAUUGUCCGUAGCUUAUGCCUGCCCGUACAAUAACCCCACCGCCACUAUGGGGCACUCUGUUCACAACAUUGACAUCAGCAAACCGCUCAGCCACACAACGCCAUACACGUGGUCUGUGGUUGUGAGGCCGUUUGGACGUACUGACGGAUUCUCUAAAACAAUGUUGGAGGCAACUUAUGGUAGAGAAACAAAUAUUCAAUUCUCUGGAGGACAUUCCUGCAAUCAGCAAGCCAAUUGCACGCUCCCUCAAAACUUGAGACAUCUGAGGCAUUCUGUUAUGUGACAAAACUGCACAUUUUAGAGUGGCCUUUUAUUGUCCACAGCACAAGAUGCACCUGUGUAAUGAUCAUGCUGUUUAAUUAGCUUCUUGAUAUCCCACACCUGUCAGGUGGAUGGAUUAUCUUGAUUUGGGCCGAAAAAUAAAUGUAUGCUCAAAUUUAGAGAGAAAUAAUCUUUUGUGCAUACGGAACAUUUCUGAGAUCUAUUAUUUCAGCUCAUGAAACAUGGGACCAACACUUUACAUGUUGCGUUCAUAUUUUUGUUCAACGUAUAUAGGUAUUCUUGGCUGACAUAAAUGUAGUGUUAAAGUUUAUGUCCGUAAUGGUGACAAUGUUGUUUGUGCUUUUGUGUUUGCAGUUGCAGCUUUCAAUGUGAAUGGCCUUUAAAUAUGUGCUCAUAUGUCUCCUGUCUUCUGUAUCGUAUGGUGUACUGUGAGCUCACAUUCUAAUUUGUACCAUGCUGUUCAAAUGUUGUAUUAUUGUAUCUUCUACUCUCAUCCUCUUUCUCUUUAUCCCUUUCUCUUUCUCUGCUUCCUCCUCCCCUGUGUGGUUCAGUCAUUACUUGUCCCAGGGAAAAUCCCAGUAGGUGUCAUGGACGUCGCGGCAGUGCCAUAGAGAUAGGAACAAUAGAAGAGGUUCAUGUAUCUAAUCUCCCUUCUAAUGUGUGUUAAUUCUUCAGCUAUUUCAUUUGCUUACUUUUGUGGUUCUAUGUUUCUUUGCAAGAUUCAAUUACCGUUGCUUUCUGCUGAAACCAAUAUUUUUUAUAGCCAUUUAAAAAGCAAUCAUUUUCUACUACUCAAGUGCGGUGUAAAACCACUGGGUUGUAAGAAAGCUAUAAUUUAUGUAAAAAGAUUUUAUGAAGAGUAUUCGUCACAAAAAUAGAAACGUCUGUAAGAAUAAUUACUGGUUUAUUACCUUCCUUUGUGUCUCAAUUCCUCUCUUUCACUCAUACAACAUACUCAAAGUCUUUCACCAACAAGCCACUGUCACGACAUUUUAGUUCACCCAUAACGUGUUGUAGAUAGCAAGUAUAAAAUACGUAAGGCAUUUGAGUCAUUGUGCUGCAGAAUCUCAAUGACAUUCAACAAAUGCCAAUCAACAAAUGCCUAUUUGAAUGGAGUUCAUGUUUUCACUGAAUGUAAAACAGACCAAGUUGUGUAUUAUAGCCCUACAGUAGCCUCUGUCUUUUACUUUAUAAGUCAUGCUAGAGGAACAUAGUAUUCAUAGCAGCCACGUUGUAUUCCUUCUCGGCUCUAUGCACUCUCCUCGUCUCACUUUUUCCCUUUGUUUGUGGACAUCAAUGAACAACACAUCAGCUGUAUGUGACCAAUGCGAAAAAAAACUUUCCAAGCCAAACAAUGUCAUUACCGCUACACACAGUCUACAUCGUUGUCCCCAUAUUAGCCAAAGUAACGUCAUAGUCAACAUAGGAAAUAGAACUAAUGCGUUAGUAAACCUGCUACAAUCAUGCAGUAACGUUACAGUGUGUAGUCAUUAAGCAGUUAAACCGGUGGCAAUAAAUUAAUAAAACCAAAAGCUUACCUUGACUUGGAAGAGUUCCAGUGUUGUGUUGGAUAGUCAUAGCCAGCUAGCUAACAGAGCAUCCCUUUGUUUGAGCCUGUUGUUUGAGUAACUAAACUAGCCAGCUGCAUUUGCUAGCUUAUUAAGUAAAACUGAAAUUGAAAAAAAGGCUAAAUCUCUCUUUCUCUCUCUCUCUUGCUUCUCCUUCAUUUUUGAAGAAAUAAAUUUGUUCAAACUGUUCAACUAUUGUCUUUCUGUCUUUUUGAGUCAACUACUCACCACAUUUUAUGCACUGCAGUGGUAGCUAGCUGUAGCUUAUGCUUUCAGUACUAGAUUAAUUGUCUGAUCCUUUGAUUGGUUGGACAACAUGUCAGAUCAUGCUGCAAGAGCUCUGAUAGGUUGAAGGACAUGCUCUGGAAGUUGUCAUAAUUACUGUGUACGUCUAUGGAAGCGGCUGAGAAUGAACAGCCUCCUAGGUUUUGUAUCGAAGUCAGUGUACCAAGAGGAGGAUGGAAGCUAUCAGUCCUCCGGCUACACCAUGGUGCUACCUUACAGAGUGCUGUUAAAGCUACUGUAGAUCCAUUGCAAAACAGUGUGUUUUAAUCAAUUAUUUGGUGUCGUGAAAAUAUUUAGUAUAGUUUAAUCUAAAAACGAUAACUUUUUCAAUGUUUUACAAUUUUUAUUAAAUGAAAUUCCCUGAGGAGGAUGGUCCUCCACUUCCUCCUCUGAGGAAACUCCACUGAUUAGCAGUAAUGUCUAUGAACCCAUCCUGAUACCUCUCUAUCCCCUCCUACCUCAGUCGGGAAGUGUCCCCCAGCACACAGAAGACUCCAGACAGUGGACACAUCUCCCAGGACCCCAAAUCAGAGAACUCGUGCAAUCAGAGCUCACCAGAGAUGCCCACAACAAAGAACAGUUGAACAGACAGCAUUUAAUAGUGCUGUCAAGCCCAUGCCGAAGAACAUGUGUAUAGUAUGUGUAUAGUAUGUGUGUGUAGUGUGUGUAGUGUGUGUAGUGUGUGUAGUGUGUGUGUAGUGUGUGUGUGUAUGUGUGUGUGUGUGUGUGUGUGUGUGUGUGUGUGUGUGUGUGUGUGUGUGUGUGUGUGUGGACAUGUUUAACUAUUCUUGUGGGGACCAGAAGUCCCUACAAGAAUAGUAAACAAAGUAAAAAUUGACCAGCUGGGGACAUUUUGUUAGUCAAAUGCUAUUGCUAGGGGGUUUAGGGUUAAGGUUAGAAUUAGUGUUAGGGUUAGAAUUAAGUUAAAUAUUUAGGUUAGGAGCUAGGGUUAGUUGUACGGUUAGGGUUAGGAGCUAGGGUUAGGUUUAGGGUUAGGAUAAAGUUUAGGAUUUUGGGUUAGGGUAAGAGUAUGGGUUAGGUUUAGGGUUAGGGGUUAGGGAAAAUAGGAUUUUGAAUGGGACUGAAUUGUAUGUCCCCACAAGGUUAGCAGUGUGUGUGUGUGUGUGUGUGUGUGUGUGUGUGUGUGUGUGUGCAUAUUAGAGUGGUCAAAUCAAAGUUUAUUUGUCAGGUUCGCCGAAUAGAACAGGUGUUACAGUGAAAUGCUUACUUACAGGCUCUAACCAAUAGUGCAAAAAAGGUAUUAGGUGAACAAUAGGAAGGUAAAGAAAUAAAACAACAGUAAAAAGACAGGCUAUAUACAGUAGCGAGGCUAUAAAAGGAGCGAAGCUACAUACAGACACCGGUUAGUCAGGCUGAUUGAGGUAGUAUGGACUUGUAGAUAUGGUUAAAGUGACUAUGCAUAUAUGAUGAACAGAGAGUAGCAGUAGCGUAAACGAGGGGUUGGCGGGUGGUGGGUGGGACACAGUGCAGAUAGCCCGGUUAGCCAAUGUGCGGGAGCACUGGUUAGUCGGCCCAAUUGAGGUAGUAUGUACAUGAAUGUAUAGUUAAAGUGACUAUGCAUAUAUGAUAAACAGAGAGUAGCAGCAGCGUAAAAAGAGGGGUUGAGGGGGGCACACAAUGCAAAUAGUCCGGGUAGCCAUUUGAUUACCUGUUCAGGAGUCUUAUGGCAUGGGGGUAAAAACUGUUGAGAAGUCUUUUUAUCCUCGACUUGGCACUCCGGUACUGCUUGCCAUACGGUAGAAGAGAGAACAGUCUAUACAGGGGUGGCUGGGGUCUUAUACAAUUUGUAGGGCCUUCCUCUGACACCGCCUGGUGUAGAGGUCCUGGAUGGCAGGCAGUUAAGCCCCAGUGAUGUACUGGGCCGUACGCUCUACCCUCUGUAGUGCCUUGCGGUCAGAGGCCGAGCAAUUGCCGUACCAGGCAGUGAUGCAACCAGUCAGGAUGCUCUUGAUGUUGCAGCUGUAGAACCUUUUGAGGAUCUCAGGACCCAUGCCAAAUCUUUUUAGUUUCCUGAGGGGGAAUAUGCUUUGUCGUGCCCUCUUCAGAGUGACCCAGGUGUGUAGUUUGGCCAUGUGUUGCAGGGCCCUGUCUAUCCCUGAGGCCCAGGACCUGUCCCGCUCCUUGUCCAAUGGCAGCAGCUUUGCCGGCGUGGUGGAGGAACACAAUAACGAGGGCAACAAGGAGUACGACACAGGACUGGCCUGUCCUUUUCUGGAACACCACACAAGAGGGACUCAUUUGCGUAUGUCUCCUGGGUAGAGGAUAGUGUGAGCAGUACUGGUGCCACCCGCCAGAUCAGCUCUCCAUGUGAGUUGUUUCACUGGUUGACUUGGAAAAAACGCUGGUUGACUUGGAAAAAACAUACAAGACAAGCUGUCACAGAGAGACAGGAAACACAGGGAUAAAUACACUGGGGAAGAUCAGCAACACCUAGAGGGGAUGGAGACAAUCUCAGGAACAGCUGAAACAGA